GUCAUUGAUCUCUUUGGUUAUCUAGCUGUAUGAUUUUUCGUACUCAUAAGGCUGGACGACUAAAGGAAUCAAUUCGUC
rnacentral:pre_miRNA from 1 species